rnacentral:lncRNA from 1 species
CACAAGAUGCAGCUGCAGGAUGACACUGGGAGAUGUGUCCACAAAGAAGAACAACAAUAAGAAGAGGAAGAAGUGGGGAGGAAGAAAAGAUGAAAGAAGAUGAGAAGAAGGGACAGGAGGGGAAGAGGAGAAGGUAUGGAGAAAGAAGAGGGGAAGAUAGGGAA